GUGUUCUAUUAAUGUAAAGAACCAAAGUUUUCUCUCUUUAAAAAAAAAUAGAAAUAUUAUAAUUUUUAUAGUCUUAUGAAUAUUAAAAGAAUUAAGAAUUGUGUAUAAAAAUGCGCCCUUUUAAGUUCAAUUAAUAAUUCUGAAAUCAUUAUACUGUUCAGCAAAUACCAAGAUAGCCGAUGAGGCCCCUUGAGUACACCUUAUCUAAGUCCGGUGACAGCAUAGUUGACACUAUCUGUCACUAAAAUGACAUAGUGACACGUGCAACGUAUCUUUUCUUCAUUCCAAUCUUCUAAAUAGGUUAUUAUCCCUCAUCUUUCCAUACAAUCAAAUUUCCUUGAUGUUAAAAUUAAAUCGGACGACCCUUUUCUUUUUAUCUGCAGACGUUUUAUCGAAGAGCUUUUUUUUUUCAAUAAUAAAGAUAAAAUCGCGUAAACUCUUCUUACUCGUUAAAUUUUGUGAUUUAUUUAGCAGAAAAAUACGGAUAAAUUUAUAUAUUAAUUUUAUAAAUUUUCAAAAAUUUCGGCAGCGCAUAUUUAUAACCCCGACUAUGAGAACACGAAAACCACUCAACACUCCAAGAUUUUUCGAUGUAUAACAUGGUUAAACAGUCUGAAGUGCAAUUUAUUUAAAUAAAUUAUUCUUGCAGUAUGUUAAUUAUGUUUGCUUAAAGCCUGAUUUAAGAAUUUUACAUAAAAGUUUCCGAUGAAACGUUACCAGAUGCAUCCGAGUAGAGAAAGAGAGAGAACCUCAUGUAGGUCUUUUUAUAAUAAAUUUGCAAACAUCUAAACAAGGAUAUCACGUUUAUAUCUUAAAAAUGGCAUUCCUUACAGUGAAAUUUUUUAAUAUUUUUAUCAUUUUCUAAGUUUAAACUCUUGUUUUCUACGUUAUUUUAAAUACGAAUCGCAUAAAAAUCUCUACUAUAUUUAGACUCAAAUAUAAAACUGGAACAUGUCUAAAAGCGGAAUUUUAGUAUUU
rnacentral:lncRNA from 1 species